GAGUUAGGGUCGCCUCCCAGGUGCCCGACCUCCCAACCCUGUGUCUUAAUUACCUCAGUUGCUUCGGUGGGCCGGGCGCGACCAACUGGCUUAGUAGGCCAGGCUGGCUUCGUGACCGGUGGCCGGGGAUACCCCCCGGCGGCAGAGUGCCCACCGAUGGCCCCCAUAAAACUCUUGAUACCUAAACCUGUCGUCUGAAUUUACUUGAUAUUGAAUCAAAACAAAACUUUCAACAACGGAUCUCUUGGUUCU
rnacentral:misc_RNA from 1 species